UAACAAAACAAAAAAAAAUCAAAAGCAUCAGUAAUGGAGGAUUCAGAGAUAAGUGGACUUUAAUUUAACACUUUAAAGAAGGCACAAAGAGACAAGCGAUCAGGUCAAUAGAUAGAGCUCAUCAAUUAUUGUAGAUGUGCCGGAAACUCCAGGCUGAAUGAGGUAAGCCUCUGGAGUGUUUCCAUAGAAACACAUUUUUAUGGCUCUCUGUCUCUCUUCUCCUGUUUCGGUCUGCUGGUCACUUAACAGCCUCAUCAUGGAGGAGACGUGAAAGGACACACACAGGACCUCCAAAGUUCAGGUUCACGGUGCUGAUGUCGCUGUCAUACUCACUUUCCUCUCGUUGCUGGAGUCCUUCUUGGUGGCCUUGAUGAAAUCGCUCCGGCCGUGAAGAUACUCAUCGUACUCCUCCAGCGUCAUGUCUCCGUUCUCGAUGAGCACAUGCGGCAGAUGAGGCUCUGCAGUGACACAGUCGGUCAGGACAUAGACAUGGCUAUAAAUAUUAAGGGCAGAUUAAAUAGCAGAUGGACAAUGGCCCAAAGUGACACCAAGUGCUGCGGCACUAGCAGCUCAUGGUGGAGGGAGAGUGGAAAUCUGUGGUGCUGAAUUAUCCCCAUAUUGAUGAAGGAAUCAAGAGAUGAUUGCAAAUAAAGAUGCUGCACCACAGCUGGGCCUCAAGACAACAAAAUUAGCUCAGAGGGUUGAGUGAAUCCUGGGGAUUUGGACUGUUGUUUCUCCAUACUGCUGGGUUCUGAAAAGCACCGUUUCAAGCUUAUAAAAAAGGCUUCAGUUUAAAAAGGGUUUAUAUUUUGUUUACAAUAGACUUUAGGCAUAAAAAAAUGUUUUUAUAUGUGAUUUUUUUUAGCAAAAACCUGGCUUGGAUUGAUUAAUUGCUUUUUAAUUGCUUAAUCCAUUCACCCAUCCAGUUUUCUGAUGAUUUUCCAGGUCCAGCUCCUGUAUACUGUGUACUGAUUAAUUAUUGAUUCUAUUGUACUCGCUCUACUGCAGGAAAAAUACCAUCAAAGUGUGUUAUAAAUGCAAAUAAAUUCAUGCACUUGCUGAUAAAA